rnacentral:lncRNA from 1 species
GACCACUGGCUCUCAGAAGGCCAUGGGCUCACCAAGGGCUGCCAGUUCACAGAAGUCCCUCACCUUUGUUCCACACCUGCUGACUUUCUAAACUUCUGUCCUCUGGACUGUGCUAGGUACACGUUACAGCAACUUGACAGCCAUGACUUUCGGAGCCCCAUUAUGUGAUGCCAUGGCCCUAGAAGCAGAAGGAACCAUCAAAGAACCAGGCUAAAGGACUUUGGGACCAACAGGCCUUUGGGAAUGCGCCUGGCCAGGAGCUAAGGGGACACCAGCUGACAAAAGUUGCCACCAGACACGCCAGGUAGAAGGUGUCAGCUGGCAAUGGCCAUGCCGACCUAAGCUACCUCUGUGGAGUGAACAACGUAACCCAUAAGAGCCAGCACAGAUCCCUCCCACCUGUCAGCCCUGUCUUCCCCCAUCUUGACGCAUGUCCCAGGCCACUUAAUGACUGAGCCAAAUUCAGAGAGAUUUUUCCAGGACACAAGAUGGACUCGUGGAUUCUGGCUGAUCUUGGAUAUUGACACAUUAUUCAAAACUCUACUGGUUUGAGGUCAU